AUACGGAGGGUGCAAGCGUUAAUCGGAAUUACUGGGCGUAAAGCGCGCGUAGGCGGUUUUGUAAGUCGGAUGUGAAAGCCCAGGGCUCAACCUUGGAAUUGCAUUCGAAACUGCAUGACUCGAGUAUGGUAGAGUGAAGUGGAAUUCCAGGUGUAGCGGUGAAAUGCGUAGAUAUCUGGAGGAACAUCAGUGGCGAAGGCGACUUCCUGGACCAAUACUGACGCUGAGGUGCGAAAGCGUGGGGAGCAAACAGGAUUAGAAACCCUAGUAGUCC
rnacentral:rRNA from 1 species